AUGUUAGAAAAUGGGGGCUGGCCCCGUGGCCGAGUGGUUAAGUUCGCGCGCUCCGCUGCAGGCGGCCCAGUGUUUCGUCGGUUCGAAUCCUGGGCGCGGACAUGGCACUGCUCGUCAGACCACGCUGAGGCAGCGUCCCACAUGCCACAACUAGAGGAACCCACAACGAAGAAUACACAACUAUGUACCGGGGGGCUUUGGGGAGAAAAAGGAAAAAAUAAAAUCUUUAAAAAAAAAAAAAAAAAAAUGUUAGAAAAUGAAGCAAUACUUCUAGUCUCCUCACACACACAAACACACACACAUACACCUUUUAAUGACUUUAUUUUGUUGGGUGAAAGACUUUAUUUUGUAUCAUAAAAAGGGCUAAACAAGGCACCUUAUUCUAUUCUAUUCUAGUUACACUGUCUUUUUGGCUAUUACUUCAUUUUCCAACAUUUUUAAUGAAAUUUUUCAAACAUGCAUAAAAGUUAAAAGAAAUUCAUUGUGAAUGCUCAUGAUAUCCAUCACUUAGAUUCUACAUGGCGUUUACUAUACCUGUUUUAUCGUAUAUCCAGCCUUCUAUCCAUCUCUCUCUAUCCAUCAAGCCAUUUUAUUUCUGAUGCAUUUCUAGAAAAGUUGCAGACAUCAGCACAUUUUACCUCUAAACACUUCAAUAGGCAUAUGAUUAACUAGAGUUCACUAUUUGUUUUGAAUUUUUUAGGUAAAAUUUACAUCUAAUGAAAUGCAGAAACCUUAAAUGUACCUUUCGAGGAAUUUUGAUAAAUGCACCCCUGUGUAACCUAAGCCCCUAUCAAGACAUAGAACAUUUCCAUCACCCAAAAAAUUCCCUUAUGCUCUUUCCAGUGACACAUCCCAAAGGUAACCACUGUUCUGAUGUUUUUCCACCGAAACGGUUUAAACAAAAUAACAUAGUAUAUACUCUUGUGAAAGUAUGCACUCUUCAUUAAGCAUAAUGAUCUUGAGAUUCAUCUAUGUUGUUGCAAAUACCAAUGUUACUUCCUUUUUAUUGCUCAGUAAUAUUCCAACAUGCCAGUUUGUUUAUCUAGUCUCCCAUUUAUGGACAUCUGGGCUGUUUUCAGUUUUUGCGAUUGUGAAUGAAGCUACUAUUAAUAUUCUUAUGCAAGUAUGUUUGUGGACUUUUACUUUCACAUCUCUCAUAUAAAUACCUAAAAGCAAGGGUGCUGGGUCACAGGGUAUCUAUGAUAAUCACAUUUAUCUCCCAAGGUGGUUGUGGGGAUUAAACGAGAUGAUGCAUAGAAAGCACUUGGCAUAGUGCCUGGCAUGGAGAAAUCACUAUGAUGAUAUGCUAGCAGCAGCAGCAUUAUCGAAUGCAUUUUCCUGGUAAUAAUAAUGUAUAAUGAUAACGUAGGAUUGUUUUAUUAUAUUUUCAUAUUUCAGAGUAUUUUAAGAUUACUCUUUUUCAUAAUGACUCUCACCCACUCUCUCACUGUUUCAUAGUUUGAAGAAAUUACACACAGACACAAGUUAAUUUGCUCACUUCUAGACAGAAUGUCAACAUCACAGUAGCAGUGUUUCUUGUUUUAACAGAUGAAUUAUGUGGGUGGGCUUUCUUUGAAAACACAGCAGAACUGCUCCCAAAAAAGUCUUCUGCCUCUAACAGACAAGUGUCUCCUAUUGCCUAUGUGCCCAGAAGGUAUCAGGACACUGAAUUUUGGCAGCAGGGAGUAAUAGGAAGGAAGAGAGCUCUGGAACCAGGCUGCCCUGGUUCAAAUCCUGGUCUGCCAUUUGAAAGUGUAUCGCCUCGGGCAAUUUAGUUAAACCCUCCUAAGCUUCAGUUGCUCCAACAGCAAAACGGGUGUACCAAUAUCUACCUCGCAGGAUUAUUCUGAGGAGUAGAAAUGAUGAAUGCAGAGGUUGGCCCAUGGUAGGACCUCAAUCAAUGGCUGCCACCAAGGUGUAUAAGGGACAGAUAUGAGUGUUAAGUCUUUACAUUUGCAAAUAAUGCAUCACACAAAUUAACUCAUGAGUGACAUCAACUCAGCAGUGAACAGGAGUAUAAAACAACCCAACAACAUAUUAGAAAGGGAUGUGGCUUUCAUUUCACCCUUAUCCCUUUUCUCAAAUGAAAAACAAAAUACAUGUAGCAAUAUUCAUUCAUUCAGCAGACACUGAAUGAAGCGCUCCCUUACGCCAGCGCUGUGCUAGGUGUCGGGUAUGCCCAGGUGACAGACAGAGUCCCUGAUGUUAACCUGUUCUCAGUCUACUGAGGGAGUAGAUACAUAAACAAAUAACUAAAUAAGUUGCCUCUUACUUGAGGUGAAAGGUAUUUGGAGCAUUCUGAUACUAUUUCUAAGAAAGUCUGCAUAAUUUGCCUGAUAAAGCAAGAAGCCUAAGACGCUGAUGUUGAUAUGCCAGCUGUUCUUAGUCAAAUAAUGAAAGCAGGCUGGGAUAAGCGAUAUAACAGAGGCCUGUGUAAAGAGCUUUAGAAGUACAAAAUUAACUAACCUACACACCAAAAGUGGAGUUUCCUUACUAUAGGCAACACAAGCAAAUCUAUGACCUUUAGCUUUUCAUAGGAGGCAUACCUGUCAAGAAAAUAUGCCCCAAAGAGAAAAAGAGAGAAAUCAGAGAGGAUGGGGGAAGAGUUGCAAAGGAACAAGGAAGAGAAGCAAAAAUGAGGAGAGAAGAAAAGGAAAGAGAAAACAGUAUGAAUGGAGAAAGGAGGAGGGAAGGAAAACGGGACGUGAGAACUCACAGAAAGGAAAAACACCGCCUGGACACAUUACAGACAAGGGGACAUUUGAGUUGGGCUUUGAAGGUUGAGUAAGAGUUUGAGAGAGUAAAGAUAUUCCAGACAGAGUGAACAGAGUAUAUAAAGAUAUAUGUUCAGCAUGUGAAAAUUUGGUAGCUGGAAUAUGGUGUUUUUAUUAGGUCAUGGACAAGUGUGGAAAAUACUGUCAGAAAGAAAGAAUGAAAAUUGGAAUUGGAUUGUGAAAAAAAAGCCUUGAAUGCCUAAGUAAGCAUUUAGUCCUUCUCCUAUGGGCAACAGAGAGCCACAGAAGAAUUUUCAGGAGCAGCUGGCAUUAUUAAAUUCACGUUUUAAUAAAAAAUAAUCUGGUUGCGGAAUGGAGCUAUGG
rnacentral:lncRNA from 1 species